rnacentral:rRNA from 1 species
UACGUAGGGUGCAAGCGUUGUCCGGAAUUAUUGGGCGUAAAGAGCUUGUAGGCGGUUUGUCACGUCUGCUGUGAAAACUCGGGGCUUAACCCCGGGCCUGCAGUGGGUACGGGCAGACUAGAGGUAGGUAGGGGAGAAUGGAAUUCCCGGUGUAGCGGUGAAAUGCGCAGAUAUCGGGAGGAACACCGGUGGCGAAGGCGGUUCUCUGGGCCUUACCUGACGCUGAGGAGCGAAAGCGUGGGGAGCGAACAGG